rnacentral:rRNA from 1 species
GCUAAACGCGAAGAACCUUACCAAGGCUUGACAUGCAUUUCUAAGCGCGUGAAAGCGCGUGACCCUUCGGGGGACUUGCACAGGUGCUGCAUGGCCGUCGUCAGCUCGUGUCGUGAGAUGUUGGGUUAAGUCCCGCAACGAGCGCAACCCUUGUGAACAGUUGCCAGCGCGUCAUGGCGGGAACUCUGUUCAGACUGCCCAGAUCAACUGGGAGGAAGGUGGGGACGACGUCAGGUCAGUAUGGCCCUUACGCCUUGGGCUGCACACGUACUACAAUGCCCAGCACAAUGAGAACCGAUGCCGCGAGGUGGAGGAAAUCUGCAAAACUGGGCUCAGUUCGGAUUGGAGGCUGCAACUCGCCUCCAUGAAGUUGGAAUCGCUAGUAAUGGGCAUCAUCUACGGCCCCGUGAAUACGUUCCCGGGUCUUGUACACACCG